UUUUAAUUUCAUCGCCAUGGCCGAAGAAGAGUUAACGGUGAAAAAAAUUAGUUUGGUAAUUAAAACUGCAAAAGAGAAGAAGACUGUUGAUAUAGAAGAUAAUGCUAGCAUUAAAAAUUUGAGAGAAAAAGUAUCCCAGUACUUCAGCACACCUUUGGAUCAAGUUUGUCUCAUCUUUGCUGGAAAAAUAUUAAAAGAUCAUGAAACAUUAGGAACUCACAAUAUAAAGGAUGGACUGACUAUUCAUCUGGUUGUAAGAUCUGCUACAAGACAUCAGGAGAGACAACCAGGGACAGAGGGUCAUCAGAGUGGUGCUGACAUUUCUGCUACACCAUUUGGGCUUGGAAACAUUGGAGGAUUGCCAGGACUUGCUGGUUUGGGUUUGGGAUCUGGAAAUUUCAUGGACUUGCAACAAAGAAUGCAACAGGAGUUUCUUAGCAACCCUGAUAUGAUGCGUCAGCUUAUGGAGAACCCAAUGGUACAGUCAAUGAUGAAUAAUCCUGAGUAUAUGAGACAGUUAAUUACAAGUAAUCCACAGAUGCAGCAACUUAUGGAAAGAAAUCCAGAAAUUAAUCACAUGUUGAACAAUCCUGAUUUGCUGCGACAAACAAUGGAAGUUGUGAGAAACCCUGCUAUGUUACAGGAACUAAUGAGGAGUCAGGAUAGGGCACUCAGCAAUAUAGAGAGCAUACCUGGUGGUUAUAAUGCUCUCAGACGGAUGUAUACUGAUUUGCAAGAACCAAUGCUUAGUGCUGCUCAAGAGCAGCUUGGAGGAAAUCCAUUUGUUGCCUUGAUGAAUAACAACACUGAGAACCAAAAUAAUUCUGGGCAACAAGGAACAGAGAAUAGGGACCCUUUACCUAAUCCUUGGGGUUCCAGUGGAGGCACCACAUCCAGCACUACCACCUCCACCACCACUAAUGGCACAAAAAAUUCAUCUUUAGGACAGAAUGCUACAACAGGAGGUUCUUUCUUUGGUUCCCCUGGUAUGCAGAGUUUGAUGCAACAGUUAGUGGAAAACCCACAGUUAAUGCAGAAUAUGAUGAGUGCCCCGUACAUGCAGUCAACACUCCAAGCCCUGUCUGCUAAUCCUGAAAUGGCACGACAAAUUGUAGCCAACAAUCCUCUUCUUUCAGGCAAUCCCCAACUUCAAGAACAAAUCCGAAAUAUGAUGCCUGUAUUUCUUCAGCAGAUGCAGAACCCAGAAAUUCAGUCUCUCAUCACUAACCCACAAGCCAUGAGAGCUAUAAUGCAGAUACAACAAGGCAUGGAGCAACUACAACAAGUUGCCCCAGGAGCUUUCAGUGUCUUUCCAGGAAGUCGGCCUUCAAAUAUCAGUACCACUGUUUCUUCACCAAAUCUUACAACUAGCAGUACUGGUAUAACCACUAGUAACACAACUAGCACUACCACCAGUAGCAGUGGAACUAAUGUAACAGGGAAUACUGGCCAUGAUCCUUUCAGUCAGUUCAUGUCUCAGAUGGUAUCAGCCAUGGCCCAAGGUGGAAACAAUACACAACUGCCCCCAGAAGAAAGAUAUAGAACACAGCUUGAACAGCUGACAGCCAUGGGAUUUGUAAACCGAGAUGCAAAUUUACAAGGAUGAGGUCUGCUCGGAAGACUAAUGCAGGGUUAAUAAAAAGUUCAUGACAAAGAAUUUUUUUUUUCUGAUGAAGGUGUGAAUGCAAAAAUUUACAAUAUUUUAGUGUAAUGUUUGCUUAUUUUCCUGAUACCUAUGAGAAUACUUGAGCUACUAUAACCAAAUUUGCUGUAAAGCUAGAGGAACAUAUGUGCCAGCUAUUUACCAAAUUUGAAAACAGGAAGUUUUUGUUUUCUUUUCACUGGUGUAAAGAAGAAAAUGAAGAGUUUGUUCUGAUGUAAAAUGAUAAGGGAUUAAAAGAUUUCUUUGGAAUUUGGCAUGUAAGGUAAGGAGAUGUGGGAGACCUACUAUACAAAAGAUGUGAGUUUUGCUUAACAGAGCUUUCCCAUAUGGAUGGUUGAAAACCUAAAGUUUUCAUUCCUGUUAAUAACAUACUAGGUGUCGUGUGGUUUAGUUUAUUUUUGGCAUGACACUACUGUGUGUCUUGAUCAUCUGAUCCACAUAACUUUGAACUUCAACACUUUUUGUAAUAGCUAAUACAAUUUCAGUAUAGUAAACCACAACUGUAUCUCAAAAUAGUUCAAGAUAUAAGACUACAUCCACACAUUUAUAAAAAGAUUUAAAAUAAGAUUUGACAUUAGUUUCUAAUAAUAUAAAAAAAUAAAAAAGUAAUCUUUUCUUCACUGAAAUUCAUGUCUUUGGGAGAAAAAACGGCAUAUAAAUAAAAUUAAUACCUGUUCAUUAAAAAACCUGUUUCCUUACAGUCAAACAUUUUUCUAAUUGGAGAUAUUGCAAUGAAUAACUUUCAAUUCUUGACAAAAUUAUGGGAAAAUUCUUCUUAGAUUUAUAAUUGGAAACUAACAUUUUUUAACUGACUCAGUAAACUUGACAGAUCUAAAGCUUUUGCUAAAUGUUUGUGUGAUACAUCAAAUGUUUGCAUAUGGUCAGUUUAAAGAAUUAUAAAUCCAUUGAUAAUGAAAUAUUACUACAUAACAUGCAUGUGCAUAAAUACAUUCAACCAAUGUAACUGAUUUUGUAUUCAAAAUAUUUUUUAUGUAUUAUAGGAAGUACUACAUUAAGGUGGUGAUCUAAUUAGUGACAUUGAGGAUAAGUUUUUGUUUUGUUUUUUAAUAAAACAAAUGAUAUUGGGAUAAUUGUUUGCUAACUAUGUCUGGAAAUUAUAUAACAUCUUGGGUGUGUCCAGUGGUUAAUGCACAGGACUGUGCAUCAAAGGAUUCCUGGUGUAAAUCCAUUGCCACAAAAUUGUGCUCAGCACUUUGGGGUUAUGAGUGUGUUAUAAGAAUGAUAGUAAAAUCUCACUAUUCAAUCAGAAUAGCCAAAGAGUUGGCAGUGGGUGUCCUCUUGCUAGUCUUA
rnacentral:misc_RNA from 1 species